ensembl:lncRNA
GUUUGCUGUUAGUUUGUUUAGAGGCAAAACAUUGACAUACUGUGGUGGAUUUAUAAUUUUCUAUUUGUACUUUUUGACCAGCCAGGUCAAUUAAGAACAACAGCUUCUUAUUUAUAAUGAUGGGUUGGCUGGCUGGUGUUUGGACUGCAAUCAGAAACGGAGAGAACCCCCGUCUUCAACAAAACAUGCAUUUCAGGGACAGAGAGGGGAGAAGGAGAGAGGCGUCGCUCUGAAAGGUCAGAGGGCGUGCAGCCAGGCAGCACAGCUCGUGGACACAGCACGAACACCACCCAGUGACAUUUACAAGCACAGGAACAAAGGCUGUAGGCUGCUGAUGAAUACUAAUAAAGAACCAGGUGUAUCAAACCUCCGAGGGGCCAUAUUCUGACGGGCAGGACAACAGGAAUCUCAUCACCACUGCUACCUUCAAGUACUAGGCUAAUAACACUCCCACUAUGCUCAUCUGGUCCACACUGUUGGCCUGGGAUGUUAGGCUUUUCCCUGGUCUCCCCUGAAGAGAGUCCUAUUAUGGAUCAAUGUGAAAUAGGUUAGUUUCUGGAAACCGUGACCCAGCAUGCUGAGGAUUCAUUUGGGGAAUUGUGACACACAGGGGAAGGCUCAUGUAUCACAAACAAACAUUGAUAUUGGGUAUCAAGACAG